rnacentral:rRNA from 1 species
CCUACGGGUGGCAGCAGUGGGGAAUAUUGGGCAAUGGGCGCAAGCCUGACCCAGCAACGCCGCGUGAAGGAAGAAGGCUUUCGGGUUGUAAACUUCUUUUCUCAGGGACGAAGAAAGUGACGGUACCUGAGGAAUAAGCCACGGCUAACUACGUGCCAGCAGCCGCGGUAAUACGUAGGUGGCAAGCGUUAUCCGGAUUUACUGGGUGUAAAGGGCGUGUAGGCGGGAAAGCAAGUCAGAUGUGAAAACCAUGGGCUCAACCUGUGGCCUGCAUUUGAAACUGUUUUUCUUGAGUACUGGGGAGGCAGACGGAAUUCCUCGUGUAGCGGUGAAAUGCGUAGAUAUGAGGAGGAACACCAGUGGCGAAGGCGGUCUGCUGGACAGCAACUGACGCUGAGGCGCGAAAGCGUGGGGAGCAAACAGGAUUAGAUACCCUAGUAGUC